GUUGUGUUUCCUUUCUUUGAUUUUGUUUAUUUUUAUUUCUAUUUUUGUUUUGUUAGUUUGCUCUUGUUUUCUAGCUUUGGGUCAUUUUUGUACUAAGGCAAGCAAGCCUUUUUGAAAAAUAACAAAAGAAGAAGAAAAAAAUCCCUCCCAGAAAAAAAAACAAAAACAAAAAACAAAACAAAAAACAAAAAAACCUAAAAAAAAUAGAAAAAAAAAAAGGACCUCACAAUGAUGCAAUUACUUUUAAUUGCAAGCAACUCUUUACAUUUAAGUGAAGUGUCUUAACAUUUUAUAUUGUUUUAAAAAUAUAUUUACAUAUUAUAUAUAUAUAAUAUACGUAAUAUAAAUAUAUAUAAAUAUUUAAAAAAGAAAAAAAAAAAAAGAAAACCACAGCACACUCUCCCUGGCCACUGUCUGGCAGGGGAGGGGCUGGGGACAGGCGUGUGGCCUGGUUUCUGUAGUCCCUGUGGAGCAGUUUGGUUUGAUUUGGCUGUACAGAGACCCCUGGCUUGGGAGGGGAGGGGGAGGGGCCCCUCCACUCCAUUUCUCUUUGCUUGCUACUCUUUGCUUGCCCCCACACCCGCUCAGCCCUGAGACCUGAGUGUGCGCCCCUCCGUCAUUGUCCUGAGUUGAGUGUCCUUUGUGGAGAGACAGGGAGGUGGAAGAAGUGACUAUUCAUGCAGGGGCUGCCCCACGAGCUCAGGCAAGGCCCCCGUGGGCUUUGCGUAGUUCUAGUUCUUCAAUUUGGUUACUGCGCGAGUGUGUCCUGGAAGGAAUUUGUAUGGGAUUGUGUGCAGCCUCUGUGUGUGUGUGCACACGCUGGCACAAGCCUACAUAACUUGUGUGUGCACAUGCAUGGGUUGUGUGUGCAUAGGCAAAACGUGAUAUUGUAUGUGUGAAGCCUUGUACAUGUAUGUGAAUGUGACCUGCCUGGUAUCAACAUGAUUGUGUGAGGAGAGCCUUGGGAGUAAGGACGUGUGUGAUGUGUGUGGACACGCCUGGCUGUUCACGUGAGGACCACAUAGGGAUGGGUUUAGAUAACGUCAGCUGUGGGUAUGGUUGUAUGCAGGUGCAGGCAGGCGUGUGAGAGGGUCUCUGUGUGUGAGAGUACUCGUGUGCAUGUGUGUGUUCCAUCAUCCCUGCACCACUCGCCCGGCACCCCUCCCAAGCUCCCCACCCCACCUGUCUUCUCAAAGCCCACAGCACGUCAAUCCCCGCCCCCACCCCCAGCUGCAUGCGCCUCGCCGCUAUCCAUCAGUGUGUGCUUGACAAGAGAAACUGCCACAUCGGGGGACCCUGUACCUGGUCCCCUCACCCCUGCCCGCUGUGCUGUGAUACUCGCAUGGGGGGUUCUCUCUGGCCCCUUCCACAAUAUACUCUUUUCCCCAGGGGCCUCGGGCAAAGGCUCUGAGUGAGGUCCCAAGUGGGGCCCCCCAAGGCCAGCCCGGCUCCACACCCACCCGUCCACCCUGUAGGGCCUGUGUUGGUGUAGAAGUGAUGGCGUCUGUGGAUAUUGUGACCUCUGUCAGUGUAAAUUGACGAUUUCUAAAUGGAAAGGGUUGCUGUGUUUUCUGUCUCCUUUUUAAUGUCCUUUCUCUCUUCCCCACCUCCCCGCUCUCUUCCCGUCCCUUUUGGUUUUUCUAGCCGAGUGUUGGGGCUUUAAUAAAACUUGUUUCUUUUUUC
rnacentral:lncRNA from 1 species